GAGACAAGCCUCACAGUGGUUCGGAAUUUCGUUCGGAGCAUCGAUUUCGAGAGUAAAUGCAUUCCGAUUCAGAUGGUCAUUCGGUUGCUCGACGAGGCGAUGACCAAGCAUGUAAGGGAAUCGGGAUGGAAUUUAUAAAAGUUCGGGGAAAAUCACAAUAUUUUGGCGCGAAAAAAAUGCAAAAAAAUUGCACAAAAAUCACAAUUUUCGAGCUCUAAAACUAAAAAAAAUUUUUAUUUUUCAAAAAAAAAUUCCAGAAAUUACACGACGACGACCUUGUGCUCGAAUUUAUUCAAGGAAGUGAAGCUCUUCUUCCCCAAUCCCGUCCACUGAAGCUUCUGGAUGAUCUUUUCAAGCUCUAUGUCAAUCCAGAUGUCUUUGCGAUUCGAAAGCCUGAAGCAUGGCUGU
rnacentral:sRNA from 1 species